UAGCGAUCUGGGAAAAGUCCCUUGGAAAAGGGCAGCACAGAGGGUGAUACUCCCGUCUUUGCUCAGAUUGUCUGUGUGUACGAUACGCUUUCUUUGAGUCGAGUUGUUUGGGAAUACAGCUCAAAGUAGGUGGUAAAUUCCAUCUAAAGCUAAAUAUUGGUGCGAGACCGAUAGCGAACAAGUACCGUGAGGGAAAGAUGAAAAGAACUUUGAAAAGAGAGUUAAAGAGUACCUGAAACUGUUGAAAGGGAACCGUAUCGUUUCCAGUGUUUUAUCCUAUGCAUAUUUCAUCGGCGGAGUAAUUUGCUGGUGCCCUGUGCAUGGGUGUGACGUCAGAGUCAGUUUGUAUGCUGCGGGAGAUGGUUAGUAAGAAGGUGCGUCACUUCGGUGAAAGUUAUAUCUUGCUAUCUAGUUGCCGUGGUUGAGACUGAGGUGCCUACAACAUGCCCUGGGGUUCAGUGGCGUCUCGUUUUGGUGACUGCUUGGAUAGCUUGCUAUGUCUGUGGUUAAUCAGGGCGAUCGAUGCUAUUGAAAACCUCUGCUGUUCGGGACUCUGGCGAAAUGGAGCGAUACGACCCGUCUUGAAACACGGACCAAGGAGUCUAACAUGUGUGCAAGUAUUAGGGCGUGGAAACCCAAAUGCGUAAUGAAAGUAAAUGCUGCUUAUGCAGCUGUGGUAGGAAAGGGCUGUAAUGGUCCUGGCACUAUCGACCGAUCAUGAGCCUACGGGCGAAAGAUUUGAGUAUGAGCAUAUAUGUUGGUACCCGAAAGAUGGUGAACUAUGCCUGAAUAGGGUGAAGCCAGGGGAAACUCUGGUGGAAGCUCGUAGCGAUUCUGACGUGCAAAUCGAUCGUCAAAUUUGGGUAUAGGGGCGAAAGACUAAUCGAACCAUCUAGUAGCUGGUUCCCUCCGAAAUUUCCCUCAGGAUAGCAGCAACUUUUUACGAUAG
rnacentral:rRNA from 1 species